rnacentral:lncRNA from 1 species
UAAGCAUUCAAUUAAAAAUGUGUAUGUGAUCAUCUCGAAUGGUGCUAGGGCACGCAGUGGGCAGUAAGAGACAAAUGCUCCCUGUUUCUCUAUGUUUACUAUUGGAGACUUAGAAUUCCAAGCCUGGAAGGAACGUGUCUUUGCUUGCAGAAGUCUUAAACGUCUGCCAAAGUCCUCUCUGAAAUGUUUUUGGAGCGGAACUUCACAGGUGAGAGUUGGGAUGUAAAAGUCUGGUGUCUCGGUGUGAGCUUUCUUCCCCUUCGCCAGGGCUCACAGAGACUCCAGCCUUCCUUAGUCUAGAACACCCCUUCCUCCAGGAAGCUGUUCUGAUGUUUGAAAGGGGGAAAUCAUAACGGUCGGAUGGACAGACAGCUGAAGCUCCCAGGCUCAGGCCUCCAAGGCAGCAGCUGUUUGCAUGUUUGUCUGUCAAAGGCUGCCCUUUGGGACCCUUGAAGUUCAGGAGAUGAAGAGAAUCUGUGAGGAGGAUUGAGAGUGUAGCCGGGUGGGAGAGCACUUGCCUUUGCAUGGGUGAGACCUGAGGUUUGAUGCCGAGCACUGAAAAAAAAAAAAAAAAUCAGGGGUUGUGGGUUAAAUGUAAAGAGGCACAGAAUAGCUUCUUAGAAACAUUCUCAAGAACAAAAGUGUUAAAAGUCAAGUGAAAAGAGUGACUGGUCCUUCCAGAACGUCUGCUCAUGCUAAGACCCGUCUGUGUCACUUUAGAAGUACAAAGUGGUGUCAUGUCCAAUACAUUAAAGGGCUUGUGUCUCAGCUCUCGUGUGCACUCGGCUUCAUGCCACCAACCAACAUGCUCAGUGGAGGGACAGCGGGUGUUGGGAACCAGAGACGCCUGGCAGGGUGUAUGAGUUGAUUUGAAAUCUGGUAUGGAUUUGUUGUCAGAGAGUAGAGAAGGACACACAGGCCAAGGGAGCAGGCUGUGUGAAUGCGUUUUGGUAUUGAAGAGCCUAAUGGGAUUGGGAAUGGUGAGUAGGUUGGAGAAGGGAAUGGCAGGAUGCAGCCACAGGAGGGAAGCCUCAAAGGAGUUGUUCUGGAGACUCUGGGUGCUGGGCGUGCAUCAAGGGUCCUAGGUAGUGUGUGUGACAAGAUGAGUGUUUCAGAAACCCAAGGUAGGGGCUGCUUCCACUCUUAAUCUGACUUGGUACGUGGGGAACCCGUGUUGACAAUGGAGAUGGAAAUGUCGGUGAGUGACAGGCUGCUGACGCACACAAAGCCAGCUCAGACUGCUGGAUUUGAAAUGGCUCUUGCCUGCUGUCUGGGAGGGAAUGGGCCUCGCCUGCAUCUCUGCGUCACCCCCCUCCCCCUGGGAAGCUGUCUGUCUUCAUGUGAGCCAGCAAGUCCAGUAUUUUUGUGCUGGAAAACUCUGCUGUCUUCCACCACAGGCGGCUUCUAGCUUUCAGCAGAGGAUUACUUAGAAUAACAAGUUAAUGACUGUCCUUGGAUUAGCCAAGGUUCGCUGGGAGAAGCAGGCAUGCCCAGCAUUCAUUUACUGGAGUCUGGUGGGGGUGGGUGCAAAUUCCAUCCCAAGAAAAAAAGAGAAGAAUUUUUCACUUGGUCAGAGUAGUAUCAUUAGAAGAAGCUUGGAGAAGUGAGGCUACAAUAAAAAAAGUAAAAGCAACUCUUAACAGUCCUCUGAGUGCAGGGGGGAGCUGGUGGCAGAUCUACCUGGGGACAUGAGGACUGGGCUCUGCUGGUUAGGUUUGUUCUUCAGGUCAGAUGAUUGGGGGGAGGUAACAGCUGGGGGUGGAAGUGAAGGGGAGGCAGGGAUGGGUGGGGAGGGGAGGGUGGGUCAAGGAGGAGCAGGGAGACAGAGCUGAGGAGCUGACUCUCCUCAGUCAACACUACAGACCACCAACAGCCCUCUGGGCCCUGGCCGGCCCUGGCCAAGCCCACUGGACUGUCUUAGUGUUAAAGGUGUCCACACUCACUCAUCCAUUCAACUCAAUAAACAUUGGUGUCCUGAACUUACGAGGGCCCACUGAGAGAAUCAAAUGGCACAAAGACUCUUUGCCAAAUGCUAACUCUGGAGCCUGCAAAGCCCUUCAAGGAAAGAAAUAUGGUGGCUCAGGGAGCCUUGUUCAGACUUACAGCAUGUCCUUGGCUCAGAAAAGCGCCAGGGCCUGGAGGAGACAGGGUCUGCUGGCUUCCUUGGGCUGAGAGUGGCAGAUGUAGACCCUAAAUGACAGGGAGGGAGAAGAGCAGCACCUGGCUUCCCAUAGCUGGCCCUGACAGAUCCCUCCCUACUCAUAGGGACCAUGGCUAUGAGUGCUGCAGUGUUUUACUUCUAAUAAGUCCAUUUAAAAAACAGCUCUACUGAGGUAUAGUUGACAUACAAACUUAAUAUUUCAUGUAUUCAAUCAAAUGAGUUUGGAUGAUGUGAACCCCCAUGAUACAAUCACCACAGUCAAGGUGAUAUGUCCAAAACUUGCCCAAGGUUCCUUGUCCCCUUCCUUGUUCUUGCGUUAAGAUCCCUUGGCACGAGACUUGCCCUCUAGACAGCUUUUCAGUGUACAGUAUGAAGCUGAAACUUUGUGCCCAUUCCAUACUUACCCUGUCCCCACCCCUCAGCCAUUAUUGUAUUCUUUCUUUCUAAAGUAUGACUACUUUAGAUGCUUCACAUAAGUGAAAUAAUUCAGUAUUUGUUCCUCUGUGACUGGCUUAUCUCACUUGGCAUAUCUUCUAGGUUCAUCCAGGUUGCUGCAUCUUUUGGGAUUUUUUUAAAUUUUUAAGGCGAAUAAUAGUCCAUUGUAUGUGUAUAGCAUGUUUUGCUAUCCAACAGUCCAUUGAUGGGAAUUUGGGUUAUUUCCACGCCUUGGCUAUUGUGAAGAAUGCUGCGAUGAAUGUGGAAGUGUAGACAUCUCCCUGGAACCCUGAUUUUAAUUACGUGGCUGGAUCAUGUGGUAGUUCUCUUUCUAAUAUGGGUGGAACCUGUUUUCCAUAGCUGACGUACCAUUUUACAUUCCUGUCAACAGUGUACCAGGUUCUAAUCUCACCUGGAUGCCUCCAAUAUUUGUUAUAUUUUUAGUAACAUCCAACCUAUUAGCAUGUGAGAUGACAUCAAAUUGUAGUUUUGACAUCCAUUUCCCCGAUAGUGAGCACCCUCACAUACUUGUUGGCCGUUCUCAUAUUUUCUUGGGAGAGACUUGGAGAGGUUAGGUGAUCUGUGGAGGUGACAGCUCAGUAGCAGGGUGGACACUCGAGCCCUGUGGUUGACUCUUGCCUGUGCUGCUCUUCACUGCCCCAUGAGGAAGGGUCUUCCGUAUUGACCAGGAGCUGAGCUGAGGAAGGACAUGGGAGGGAGGCUGGGGGGCCAUGUGGGAGCAGCUGGAAGUGUGACCUAGAAGGCCCUCAGGGGACUUUGCCAGAGAUGCAACAGGAAAUGGGGAUUUCCAGUCCCCCCUGGAAAGGAAGGACUUAACUAAAGAGUGGACUUGAGCAGUCCCUUGAGCCCUAAAGUUCCUCCCUGGCCUCACAGAAGACUCUGACUCUGAAACCGGAAGUUCCUGAAGGGUGAGAGUCAGGAAUUGUCUGAUGAGAGUUGUACGUAGGAAAAGAAAAGCGUGGGGGAGCUGGAGAUGGUGUACACGGACAGCUCAGGCCUCUCCCUGGUCUCCAUUCCUGGUGAUCUACUUCAGAGAACCCUGGAGGGGCAGCAAUCACUCUAGUUUUGAAGACAGAAAUUCCAGGGCAUGAAUUCUUCCAACACGUUCUCUUGUAGUUUGUGCAACCUUGAGCAAGCUGCUUAACAGUUCCGGUGGCACAAGCCUGUAAUCCCAGUGACUCCAGAGACUGAGGCAGGAGGACUGCAAGUUUGAGGUCAGCAUCAGAAACAUACUGAGACCCCAAGCAAUCUAGUGAGGCCCUGUUUCAAAAUAAAAAAGGGUAGGGAUAUAGUUGAGUGAUAGAGUGCCCCUGUGUUCAAUCUCCAGUACAAAAACAAAAACAAAAAAAAAGAAAGAAAAGAAAAAAGAAUAAAAGUUCUGGGCCUUAAUUGUCUCAUCCGUUACAAAUAGAGGGGCUGGAAGGCGGAGGGGCCUGGGCUCUGCAGUCUGAUUCACAAUAUUGUCACAUAGUCACCAUUUUUCAUUGCAUCACCACUCUGCACAGACACCGCUCUAGGUGCUGGAGAUACUGAAGGAUUCAUGAGUGCCGCAGUCUGGCGGGGCACAAAAUAACCGAGCCGCCACACAGCCUUGUAGGUUCAAAACAGGAACUCCUUUAUGCUCCGCACUCCCACGAACGCCACGCACACGGCCUUCCCCCCCACAAACCCCCCACACACACCACACACACCAACCGGAAUUCCCUCCUCCAGAAAUCCCUCCACCGGCACUUCCCCAACCAAUGGGAACUCUCCGGGAAUCCCCUCGAGAACUCCAAAGUAUCAUGAGAACUCCAAAGUAUCAGGCUGAGGCGGACAGCAGGGGUCUAAUAUCCAAUUGAAUUCACAGCUUAACAUAACCAUUAUCAUCUCAAUGGCUUGCUGGCGUCACCUCUCAACCACUCGGUUCUGGCAAAAAUGCCAUGUGUCAUUCCGACUCAGCUAUGGCUCUCAGCACAUGAGGUAACAGAUGACAUAUAUUCUUAACCAAUCACCAUCAGUUAAGAAUGGUUACCUUUCCCAGAACAUUGCAGGGCUUUAGACCAUGAACAUAGUAAGGCCCUUUCUAGGACAUAGUAGGGCUUAAUAAAUGCAUUUGGAGAGCUAGCCUCCAAGCCUACCCCUAAUGAGCCUUACUUCUUGGUGUUUAUGUUUCUGGGUUGUUCCCUCUCCUAGCAAAACCAGGGAUGGCCCCAUCUGAUCAGUAGAAGAGGUGGAAGUGAAGGUAUGUGACCUCUGAGCCUAGGUCACAGAAGCUUUGUCUCAGUCAGUCUCUGCUCAUUUCUUCCUCUGAAUGAGGAAGGCUGGCUACCAUGCUGUGAGGACACUCAAGCAGCUCCUGUGGAGACCCAGGUGACACUAACUGAGGCUCCCAGCCAAUAGCCAGCACCAGCUUGCACACUGUAGAGGGCCCCUCUGGAGCCUCCAGACAACUACAGUUCAGCUCACUUCUGACCAUCACUCCAGAAGGAGGUACAAGACCUCCCCCAAAGUCCCAGCUCCCAGAAACUGCAAAAGAAAAUGACUAUCACUGAUCUGAGUCACAAAAUUUUGAGAUGAUUUGUAAUGUAACAAUGGACACCCAUCUUUGAAUCCAACCUCCCCUCACCUAGAAGUCUCUCUCUCUGACUCCUCCUAGCUCCUUGGGCUAUUUAACUUGCCAACCCCAGUUCUGGGGCCCACCUCCCUCCUUCCCAGCAUUCCUGUCUCUCUUGAUUUCCCUGCUGAGAACUCUGGGGGAUGUCCCACUUCUCCUCCCACCGCUGAGUCCCCUGGAGUUUGAGUAGUGUCCGUGAGAGCCACCUCUGUCACUCACACCCGGCUUCUCCUGUCACUUCUCACUGUCCAUUGCCCAGCAGCCCUCCCACCUCUGCGUCUCGGGCUUGUUGACCUCCUCUGCGUCUUUCCACUGGUUUCUGUACCAAUGUAGGUUUCAGAUCUCACAACUGGACCUGGCCAACUUGCUGACUCACCUGGAAUCCCUCUGAGGCUCUCUGAAGUGCUAGGAUCCAACCUCAGCUCCUCCGCUUGGUGGCUAAGGAGCCAGGCCAUCCAGCGUCUCCCCCACCCCACCUCACACUUCAGCGAUUCCCAUGUGUGGAAUCUCAGUUGAUAACUAGCUUCACAUCAUCUUGUGGUCUGGAGAAAUGGGAGACGACGAUUGGAAUGGCAGGGAACGUGGUUCCUUUCACCAUGAAGGGCCUUUUGUGUCACAUGAAAGAAAAUUAGAAGGGGGGAGGCAAUGGGGAGCCACCAAAGGCUUCAGAGCCAGCUACAGUGUGCAGAGAUAAACAAUGAGCAUAUCAAGGGUUUAUUUCAUUAUGAUGUGUUAGGAAACAGGUACUGAAACAGCUCCCUCUGAACUUAUUUACACUAGCAAAGCUACCUCUUGGGGUCUUUGUUUUGCAGAGGUCAGGGAGAACAUUCGGCGGGCCCCCUCUGAGCUGCUGUGGCUGUUGCAAGAAUCUAAGGCAUGUUGGGUCAUGUUGAGGCUUUGCAGGAAAUUCAGAACCACACCGGGUGGUCACAGACUCUGGUUCCUGGAGCGGCAGAGUUCAGUCCCUGCUCUGCUGCUCACUGAGGAGUGGAUCCGGGCACCUCAGUCCCUGCCUUAGCAUCAGGAUGGCUCCCCCGCCCAGAGUGAAGGAGGUACUGUGUAUAAAACCAGGGGACUGGAGCUGGAGGCAGUAAGUGCUACUUAACAUCAAUCCCCAUACCAAAGUGACAGCUGGAGGCAGGAAAACCCCACAUGCAUCUAAGAAAAUUCCUUUAGGAAAAAAAAAAAGAGAAGAGACAGGAGCAUUGGAGAGGAAGAAAGGAAUUAGUGCUGUCAACAGUGGGUCAGUUUGUCUUAAAACCUUUCAAAGUGUGGAAAGGACUGAGCAAUGUAUCUCCUGGGGCAGGAGGUGAUAGGUGGAGGGGGCUGUGCACCCCUGGCUGUCCAGUGCAUCUGCUCAUUGCAGGGAGCGUUUCGGAGGGGUGCGCUGGUGCUGAGAAGCCCCAUAGAGAGGUGAGCCAGUGGCCAGAGGCUGCAGCCAGGGUGAGGCUGGGGAAGCAGGGCCAGGAAGUGCCCAGAGAGGCAGAGACACCUGCGGCAGCGUGGGCGAGCCCUGGCCCAUUAUGCCCCAGUGAAAGAAGCCAGACACAAAGACCACAUAGAGUGCAAUGUCCUUGAUAGGAAAUGUACAGAACAGGCAAAUGUAGAGGGGUGGAAAGUGGGUUAGUGCUUAUCUAGGGCCGGGUGGGGGGUGUGGAGGAUGGGAAUGACUUCUAAUAGGUACAGGGAUUCUUUUUAGGAUGAUAAAAAUGGCCCCAAAUUGACUACAGUGGGGAGUGCACAACUCUGAAUAUACUAAAGAUCACUGGAUUGUAAUUGAAUAGUGUGUGAAUCAUACCUCAACAAAGCUGCUACACACACGCACACACACAAAAGAGGUAGGAGAUCCAAGAUCCAAGAGAAAUACAGACUCCACGGGCUUGCCUCAGAAACUCAGCAGGUUCAAGGGGAAAGCUCCAGAAUAUUCUCCAAUGCAUCCUGCUCAUUGUCCAAGACCCAGAGAGGCUGCAUUCUCUGCUUCAGUCCUGCUGCCACUUGGGCCAAGCAACAGACUCAGCUGUAUGCAGGCACUUUGUGUAAGUCAGCUGAGAAGCGUGAGUGCUCCAUUCACAACACACCCCUGCCCCGUGUUAGCUGCACUUUACAUGCGAUUUGUGUACAUAGGGCCACAGGACUGCUAACUGGGAGAGAUGAUGUCCCAAUUCCAGUUCAACUCUGUGGUUUUAAAUCAUUGAAUCUCUUAAGAGUCAGGAUUUUCAACAUGGGUAGAGAGACCUCCCGGCACCCAGGCUAGGCUUUCUCCUGCUAACCUCCCUGGUGUACAGAGUUGUCAGGGUCCCUCGAGGGCAGGUGGUAAUGAAGCUGUAGGAAAGGCCUCUGGGCUUAGACGAAGGAGCCUGGCUGGGUAAUUUUGAGCAUGAUAAGAAGACAGGAUUUCAGAGAUACCUGGGUUGAAUCUGCUUUUAAACAUGUGGGGACAUGAAGCCCAGGGGAGUGGGAAGGCUUUCCGGUGGUGCAGGAUGCCACUUGAGUGGAGCUGAGAGGGAGUUAGGUCUCUGGGCUCUCUAUCCAGUGUCCCUUCCACAGCACCUGCAGCCUCCUAGGGCAAAGAUGGGAGUAGGAAGGAAAGCAAGGGGCUGGCCAUUCUGGGAGGGUUUGGGGCUCAUGGGGCAAUGGGAAAUGGAGCUCUCGUUUGAGACACAAGUCCAGGGGACCUGAGGGGGCAGCAGAACGUGGCCUUGGGUCUGCUCUGGUAGNGGAGCAGAGGCCACCAACAUUAUGCAUCACUUAGUUCUCAGAAUUCCUGGGGCCCUGAUCGUUUCCAAUUCAAAUUCUUCCCCCACCCCAUAUGACAAGAUACUUUUAUUUAUUCUGAGUUUCCCAAAUCAAUGAAAAUAUACAAUCACUUUAAUAGUAAUUUCAUUGAUAUAAUGAUCAGGUAAUCGUUACCAAAACCAAAAUUAAAACAAAGGAGCAGGGUUGGAAAAACACAUGAAGAAGGAGGAGGAGGAGGAGGAGGAGGAGGAGGAGGGAAGAAGAAACCAUAACAUUAAAACACAGAAGAAAACAGAAAAUUUACUCAGUCUUGCUUUUUGGACACACUCUUAAAAUUUCACUUACAGUGGUCAAUAGCAAACACCUUUUUCAAGGAAAUAUGACUGAGUGGAGCUGCAGGUAUCAUGAGCUCUAUUCCCUCAUAAGAAUUUUUUUCCAUAUUCUCUUUCCUUAUAAUUUCCCUAAUUAUGAAGGUUGGGGAAAAAAGAAACUGAAAAAUAUAUCAUCAGCUAGAAAAUUUUCAUUCCACACUGACUGACCGAACUUCCGCGAGUUCAAAGACUGAGGUUGGGACAUCCUCAGUUAUUUUAGACAUUAGACUGGUGCUUCUGGUGCUUUCCACUUUCUCUCUCAAAGUUCUGGGAGAACAAAUAUUUAUGUAUCAUUCAGUCUUCAUCAUCUCCACAGCCAUUAUCCUUCCCAUUCUUACUCUCAAUUCUAAAAACUAGAACGCCAAGAAGGCUCAGUGCUGUUAAGCAAUGUGCCCGAGGUCAUUUGGCCAGGACAGGCAGGGCCCUGGAGGGAGCCCCAGGUCUGGACAAGCCCAAAUCCCAUCCUCAUUCCAAAGCUGCCCAGGGCAGGGGCUGCUGGAGGCCAUAUUUGCCCACAGUCUGAUUUUGUUCAGAGCUGGCUGAGGGCCAGACCUCUGAGUUUACUGAAAUGUUCUGAGAGUUAUUGGGAGAAAUGGAGCUUUGAACUUGCCUAAUAUAACACGGGCUGCUUCUCAGGAUCAUAAACAUGUUUCUGAACCUAAUUAAAAAGCCUCAUGAAAAGGGCGAGGGCAGGACUGAGACGUGACGGUCGGUCUACAGACUCCCCGUGGGCCAGGACGGGAGCUUGCUGUUCCCAGACUCAGGGAGGACCAGCCCUCGUGGGGGCCGAGAGUUAAGAGUUUUAGAAGGAAGAAAAGGGUCUUUUACAGUCCUGGCUGGGGACCCGGGCCGUACAGGGAGGGAAUGGAGGAGGCGUAAUUGGGGCUUGUAAAACAUUUCCAGGCAAAAUCACUUAAUGUGUUUUGGAGAGUGAAAAGCCGCAGUGCACAUGGUCCUGACGUUCGGGCGUCCUCUGCAGUCAGUAGGCUGGACGGAGGGCUCAGGGGGGCCGACCAGAGCUGACUGCCGUGGGCGGCGGCAGGUAGACUAGCUCAGGGCUCAGGACCCUGGAGCAGCAGACACUGGUUUGGGAUUUCCGCUCAUCCCCUCACUGUGUGACCUUGGGCAGGUUAUUUAUCCUGCUGCACCUCAACAUCCUCAUGUGGAAAGUGGGGACAAAACUUUGCCCCCUUGUUGGUUUGUUGUAAGGGGUAAGAAUUCAAAGUGCGCAGGACAACUCCGGGGUGCAGCCCUUCCUACUCUGCUGCUGGGAGUGGGCGUGGGCUGCUACCAGGUUAGAGCAGUGUCCUCUUUCCUCUGAAAUGGGCCACCCCUGGGGAGAGUGGCUGGAGCCCUCAUCAGGCCUCUCUGGAUUCCUUCUUCCACUUUUCUCCUGGCUCCCUUUUACCGGGUACUGGUUACUCUCGUCCAUUUCCCAAUAUCCCCCUGACCAAUACAGAUCGUGUUCUCAUCUCAAAACUCUGACAGUGCCCCAUCCCUCUUGGGAUAUUAUAGUUCAAAUUUCUGGCCCUCUAGACCCAAUUUAACGUGCCGAGCCAUGUCCAGCCUCGUCCCCCUGUGGUUGGAUAGCAUGCCAAAUGCUUCCAGUUUCCCCUCCUUCUAGACAAAUGGUAAAUAUUGCACUUCCUGGCUCCCCGGUGGUUGGCUGGGGCAAACAACUGGAUUGGCCGGUGAAUUGUGAAUUGUGAGCAGGAGCUCUUUUUCCCUUUCCAUACAACCGGAGCCAUGGUCCAGACCAGGUGUUAACAAACACUUCCUGUAAAGAUGUUCAGCUUUGUGAGGGGCAUAGUCUCCCCGUCAGUCUUGGCUCUGCUGUUGGCAGUGGGAAGGUAAUCGUAGGUAGUACACAACUGGAGAAGCAGGAUUGCAUUUCAAUAAAAUUUUAUUUUAAAAAGGAGGCAGUUUGGAUUUGGCUCACAGGCCACAGUGUUCAGGUCCCUAUCCUGGACCAUGCUGGCCAAUGGAACUUUCUGCAGUGUUGGAAAUGUUCCUAAUAUCUGUGCUGUCCAGUGGUCACCACUGGUCAGUCCUGUGUCUGCUGAGUAGCCUUAUGUAGAGGCUAGCAUAUUGGGCAGGCAGUUUUAGACAGUGACUGUCCAUCCGCCAGCCAGGGUCCUGGAAGGAAGACAACACAGAGAGUCACAGCUGACCACAAUGCACAUGGAGCUAAUUUAUGUAUCAUGAGCAACUGAGAUUUGAGGGACAUUUGGUCUUUGUCACUGUGGCAUGGCAUAGCCAUUCCUGACCUUCAUACCCUUCACUCCCACCUCCACACCCAUCAAGCGUUCCCUGCACACACAGGCGCCAGGCUUUGCUCAUGCUGUUCCCUCUGCUGGGACAUACCCUCUAAGUCCCUUGCACUGUCCCUUGUUUUGAGGGUAAAUGCUACCUAAUUGUUUAGAGUUCAGCUCAAAUCUUGUCAUUUCUUGGUGGUUUUCUUUUCUUGUUUUGGUACCAGGUAUUGAACCCAGAGAUGCUUAACCACUGAGCCAUAUCCUCAGUCCUUUUUCACUUUUUAACUCAAGGUCUGGCUAAGUUUGUGAGAUUGACUUUGAACUUGCCAUCCUUCUGUCUCAACCUCCCACUGGGAUUAUAGGCGUGAGUCACCGUGCCCAGCUCUUGGUGGUUUCCCACUAAUCCUCCAUACCAUUUUCGUGCAACAAGAAUCACCUGCAUCUUCCUCAGGGACCUUUAUGAUUGUAAUCUAAUGUAAUUAUUUUUUUUUCUUGUGUCUUCCACCAGAUCUUGAGCUCUUGGAAGAGUCCUUAUUGAUCAUACUUGGGUAUCUCCUGGAGAACUUCAAUAAGUGCUUGUUGAACUGAUUGGAUACUUCAACCCCCGGUGGUGGGGGGUCUCACAUAGCCUUCUCUGGCACUGGCUCAACUUUGGACCAUUUCCCUACAUCUUCUUGUCUUCCUGGCCAGGGCAAUAUACCCCAGGUUCUGAAAUCCAGGCAAUGAAGAUGGUGGAGGAAGAGGAAAAAGUAGAAAAGAGAGAUACCUAUUAGUUUUAUCAUAUCGUGGUUUAAAGUAUCAACUUGGUUAUUUCUUAAAAAUGGACUCCACUAUAAAGAGCAAUUAUGACUGUAAACGUAGAUCCCAAGGCUCUUGGCAUUAGUGUACCCAAACUGGAAUGUGUUUGGAAGACUAUGUAGCUCAAGGGCUUAUUCCUGAAAUUUCUUCUCAGUGGGUAUAGUUUGUCAAAAAUAUUAUUUUCUUCGUUCAAUAAUUUUUGUUCUACCUAACAAGCAUUUUUUUUUUUUUUUUUGCAAAAUAUGGGGAUAUCAUCAUCAACAUUCCGUGCAUGCAUGCAUCUCUUUGUGGUUACAAAAUACUUUUUAACUAUGUCACCUUGAGCUUCAAAUCCCCUGGGGAAGAAGACAGAGGAAUAUUUACAGCAUUUGGAUCAUGGAGAAACUAUAGCACGGAGCAGGGAGAUGAUUUGCUUUCAAGCACAAGCAGGCUGGGACCCAAGUGGGUACUUGAAUCAGAACCCCAAGCUCACAGGCCUGUGGUCUCGGUGCUCAGACACAUUCUCCCAGCACAGCCUCAUCUCCACGCCAGGAGAUCAAGACAGACCGUCAGGUCCUGGCCUAGUCUUGCAGUAGUCCUGAAUUCCUAUCCUUUCCUUCUUGAACAGCUUUAGUCAGAGAAAUUUAGAGUAGGGGGUAGUUUUCUUGAUUUCUUUUUUAAAAACAAGGCUCAGUUCAUUAGCAGUCAGAUACAUAGAAAUAAUGAAACGAUUUAAAGCCAGUUUGUGCAUUUUUAAAAGUUCUCACAAGGGGAAUAAUGGACCUGAAAUUCCUUUAGUACCAGAAAGGACAUGUUUUAUAAAACAUCUGCCCAUCAAAAGGACAUUUUUACUUUUAAUCUUUGGUCUCUCUGAGAUACCACAGAAGGUUGCUGCAGAUUCUUUCUGAGCAGUGAGGGACUAAACUGUGGUGAUAGGACGAUACCUGUGGCUACCUCCCUGCUGCGCUUGCUGUCCUCCUGUCCCUCAGACCCAGCCUUGGUGGUCUGCUCCCCACCAAGAGGAAGAAGAAAUGGACAACUGCACCAUCACACAGGAUGGGCUGUGGCAGCAUCUCAUUUUGGGAACCAAUGAAUUCAAGAUGGUAGAAAUAGCAAAAUAUUGAAUUUCUUUCAGUUUUAAGAUGAUUAAUUUUCUCAUGGGUAAUCGGCCUCCUGAAAAAUCUUUUAUGACAAUACAGUGAAAAUCAGUCUACGAAAGAUGGAAGAAACCCCUACUUAAAUAAUAAACAAACGAGACUGUUAGAUAUGGGUGGAGUUAGGUAAAACAUACACUUGUACAUUAAAAUUGGUGUAAUAUUAACUGGAGGAUAGUGUGACUAAAUAUACUUCAUGUGCCUGUUAAGUAUGUAUGUUUUAAGAGAAAUUUUAAGACUUAUACCCAUAAAGAUAUUUAUGAAAAUGUUUCCAGAAAGAGCAAAAGGCUGGAAAUGAUUGAAAUGAGUUAUAACAGGAGGACUGGUUACUAAGUUGAAAUGUAGCUAUUAAAAAUAAUAAUGGGAGUCUAUUCAGACCUUAGUCUUCAGACUAAAAAUGUUAAUGACAGAGGUGCAUGCAAUAGAAUUAUUGGAGCAUAUGCUGUGAUUGAACUUAUAAAAAUAUUGUCUUGCUGGGUGCAGUGGUGCAUACCUCUAGUCCCGGUGGCUCCGGAGGCUGAGGCAGGGGAAUCAUGAGUUCAAAGCCAGCCUUAGCAACUUGGUGAGGCCCUAAGCAACUUAGUGAGACCCUGUCUCUAAAUAAAAUAUAAAAAGGAACUGGGGAUGUGGCUCAGUGGUUAAGCGCCCAUGUGUUCAAUCCCUAGUACCAGGAAAAAAAAAAUUGUCUCCAUGUGAACCAGGACGAGAAAAAGAAAAUAGCAUGUUGGAAUGGAGGCAGGGGGGCAAAAAAAUACAUAUGUGUUUAUUUGCAUUUCCUGAAAUUAUUUAUCAGUGUACAAAAGUAAGAAACCACUUUUGUUAUGUAUAUUGUGAUCUUUGAAUGAAAUAAUUUGAAUAUAAAAUAUGUUCAAUCUGUGUCUUAGGAUUUAUUAAAAUAAAUUGAUAGCCAAAAAAAGUGAUGAAGAUUCUUAUACAUUAUAUAAAGAACACAGAAUAACAACAGGGAAAUAUAUGCCUGCUACCUUAAUGUAUCAGAUCUGAGUAUUUGCUUCAUGUUUCAAAAAGAUAUAGAACAUUACAGACACGAUUAAAGCCCCUUGGGUCCAAAAAAAAUUUUGAAAAUUUUGUUUAACAUCUUAAUUAUUUCUGCUUACACUAUAUUUUAAUAUUAGUCAUUUUCAGAAGGCAGAAUCAAUAGGUUUUGGUUUCUCAGCUUAGAUUAGGGCUUUGUAGGUACGUGGCUCGGUAUGCAGAUACUGAAUUUCUCAGUAUAGACACUGGGGCUAGGACCUUAAGUUAUCUGAUCCUUGGUUUCCUUAAGUAUGAAACCAGGGGGAAGGGAUCCAGCCUAUCUCAGAAGAUAAGCACAAAAUGAAUAGUAUCUUAGAGGUUACCAUAAGAAGAAUUCCAGAGGAGAGUUGGCCAGGCAACCAGGGGAAAAGCUUUGCCGGCAUAAAGAACAGCUGGAACAAAAGCCCAGAGGCAUGGCCUAGGGAAAAUGGCGGGGAUCUCAGCUCGCAGGACAGUGGAAAGAAGAGGUCACCUGGCUCAACGGGCUUCUCGAAGCUCUGCUCUCCAGUGUGGGUCCAGCAGCAGCAGCCUUUCCUGUGUUCUUGUGUCUUCUUGCUCCUUUCUCUGCCUUUCAAGACCAACUGUGUUCUUCAGUGGAGACUCCACGGAGCCUACUGUGGCAGUGUUUGUCCCUACCUGCUUCCUCCACCAGACAGAUGGCCCUCUGAUUUAGACAUCUUCCCCCACACCUAGCCUGGAGGCAGCACCUCAGUCCAGGAUUGUUCCAUAGUAAACGGGGAGGUGGGAGGAGGGCAAAGGCUCUUGCAGGCACCAAUCCUCAGACAUCUCACAGAAGUAGGCAUGCUCCUUGAUCCCACAGGAAGGAGGAGUACUUUAAGUACUGUUUUCAAAAAUGGUCCACACAAUCAAUCAUUGGAACACGUUCAAAGAAGGAAAGAAGGGAGGAUGAAGGAGACCGUGCGGGUCAUCCAGCGGUAUCCUCGGGGUGGAGGCAUCCCCCUCCUCAGUCCAGCCCAGCUAAACUUGCCCUGCUCCCCCUUCUGCUCCCCACAUGUUGCAUCUUUCCUGAAACUUUGGGACCCAAUCCUGAUCAUGUCUCUCUGUGGAAUGUUCAGGCUCUGGGAUUCAGAAAAACCAAAAAUUAAUGGAAGUUGUCCUACUGCUGAUGCCAACCAGAGAUUGUCCACUGGGUAAGAUCCUGGUCAGAGCCCAAGUUUUAAAAUCAGGGAAAUCCUCAUGUCAAUAGGAACUGGAUAGAGAAUAGAGAGUCCUGAAGUUCACAUCUGGUGGCUAUCAACUGUGGCAUAACCAACCGUCCCCAGACUUACCUGAAAUAGUAUAAACCUUGAUUUUGCUUAUAAAUUGAUAAUCUGGGUGGUGCUCAAUGCAGGCAGUCCUAACGGACACUGCUUUAGAUUUCUGGGGUCUUACCCAAAGGAUCAGCCUCAUAGUGUCAUUCUAGAUUUUAUGUUAGGCUGAAGUCUCUUUCUUCCUUUUUUUUAAUAUUUAUUUUUUAGUUAUAGGUGAACACAAUAUCUUUAUUUUAUUUUAUUUUUAUGUGGUGCUGAGGAUAGAACCCAGUGCCUCAUGCAUGCUAGGUGAGCGCUCUACCUGUGAACCACAACCCCAGCCCCUGAAGUCUCUUUCUUAAUUUGAGAAUUGCUUGCCAUCUGGGAAGACUUGGGAAUGAAAAACACUUUGAUAUUUCCAUCUAGUAAGUUCUGGUUUCUUGAACUCAUUUCUCCUUUUGCAUUUUAUCAUAGCUAGUGAGAAAAGUCAGGUGGCACUUUCAAUAUUGUGCCUGGAAAUCUUCUAAGCUAGAUCAUCAAAAUUACUAGGUACCUUCCUCUGUUUGGUGUUACUCUAGGCUACAGUGUGGCCAAACUUUCUGCCACUAUAAAACAAAGAUUCCCUUUACUUUGAGAUUCCUGUAACAUUCCAUGGAUGUUAUAGAUUCUCAUAACAUUUUUGGGGGGUGGGGGGAAUACCAAGAAUUGAACCCAGAGACCCUUAACCACUGAAUCACAUCCCUAGUCCAUUUUUUUAAAAAAAUGUAGUUUAUUUUAAUUUGAGAUAAGGCCUCACUAAGUUGUUUAGGGUCUUGCAAUCUGUUGCUGAGGCUGGCUUUGAACUUCUGAUCCGCCUGCCUCAGUUUCCCAAGCCACUGACUAGGAUUACAGGUGUGUGCCACCAUGCUCAGCUCCUACAGCAUUUUCUGUAUGUUCUCAUUGGUAGACUUCUCCAGUCCCUCCAGGCUUUUGCUAACAUUCUCUUUGAGGUCCUUUAGGCUGCCUGGUCCCAAAGCCAAUGUCAUUCAUUUUAGAAUUUUAUGACAGUAACUGACCUCUGGGUACAAUUACUUAUUGAGGUUAUCCAUUGCUGCAUAACAAUCUACCCCAAACUUGUCUUAAGACAACAGUUAUCAAUUUUACUCAUCUGAACAGUCUCAGCAGAGUCAGCUGAUUUCUGUGACAUGUGGCAUCAACUGGUGGCUUGGCUGGGCAGGAGAAUCCACCUCAAAAGGGUUCACUUCCAUGCUGGCAUUUUGAGGUUGAUGGUUGCUUCCUCUCUCUGGGGGCCUCCCAAUGGGACAGACUGGACUUUCUCACUGGAGAUUGGGUUUUAAGAAUAAGCACCCGGAGGACUCACACGGAAGCAGCCAGUUUCCAUUGGCCAGGCAGUCACAGAGAACGAACGAACGUUUCAAAGUCACAUCUUAAGAGGAACAUGUGGGAUGGAAUGUAUUGCUAGAAUCAACUUUGAACAAUACAAUCUGCCACAGAAUUCUUGUUCUUAGAAGUUUGGAUUAUGGUUUAUAGCCACUGGGGGGCUGUAACUAUCAAUUCCCAACAUGACCAUUGAGUUUUAUGCUUCCUGAAUGUGUUUGUGACCCAGAAAUAAAGCUGACUGCACCCAGUGUUGGUUUCAGAAGGU